rnacentral:rRNA from 1 species
CAGCAGCCACGGUAAUACGAAGGGGGCUAGCGUUGUUCGGAUUUACUGGGCGUAAAGCGCACGUAGGCGGACUUUUAAGUCAGGGGUGAAAUCCCGGGGCUCAACCCCGGAACUGCCUUUGAUACUGGAAGUCUUGAGUAUGGUAGAGGUGAGUGGAAUUCCGAGUGUAGAGGUGAAAUUCGUAGAUAUUCGGAGGAACACCAGUGGCGAAGGCGGCUCACUGGACCAUUACUGACGCUGAGGUGCGAAAGCGUGGGGAGCAAACAGGAUUAGAUACCCGCGUAGUCCCUGUCUCUUAUAC